UUUCAGUGUUAGUUAAGUAUGAAACUAUUGCAGCUACUUUUAUUUUACUCCUGCCUUCAUAAAAAGCUACCGAGUUAUAACAGAUAAUUACAAAGACUAAAGUACAUGCUUUACUAUAAUUAGGACCGGGCAACCCAAGAUGAACACUACACCGUGGAAGAGUCCUACAACCAGGUUAUUGAUGCAUAUUUGAGCUGUGUAGUUGAGAAAGCAGAUGGAAAGGUAGAAGCCAUCUCAGCAGUAGUUUCCACUGUCAUUCUCUCAGGAAGAGCUACUC